rnacentral:tRNA from 1 species
AAGUAAAGAAGUAAAACUACAUUUAAUUUCGACUUAAAAUAAGGGAAUACCCCCAUACUUA